GAUGAACGCUAGCGGCAGGCUUAACACAUGCAAGUCGAGGGGCAGCGCGGAUGUUAGCAAUAACAUCUGGCGGCGACCGGCGCAAGGGUGCGUAACGCGUGAGCAACUUGCCCGUUUCUGGGGAAUAACCGUUGGAAACGACGACUAAUACCCCAUGGUAUCAGUUUUAGGCAUCUAAAUCUGAUUAAAGAAUUUCGGAAACGGAUAGGCUCGCGUGACAUUAGCUAGAUGGCGGGGUAACGGCCCACCAUGGCGACGAUGUCUAGGGGUUCUGAGAGGAAGGUCCCCCACACUGGAACUGAGACACGGUCCAGACUCCUACGGGAGGCAGCAGUGAGGAAUAUUGGUCAAUGGUCUGACGACUGAACCAGCCAUGCCGCGUGAAGGUCACGGCCCUAUGGGUCUUAAACUUCUUUUGUAAGGGAGCAAUAAGCUUUUACGUGUAGAGUGAUGAGAGUACCUUACGAAUAAGCAUCGGCUAAUUCCGUGCCAGCAGCCG
rnacentral:rRNA from 1 species